rnacentral:misc_RNA from 1 species
AACGCAAAUUGCGCCCUUUGGUAUUCCAGGGGGCAUGCCUGUUUGAGAACCUUGACGUACCUCAACCCCCACCAUGGCGGUCACUCGCGAUGUUGGGCGUGUUGGAUAUGGGUGCUCCCCUCUUCGUCUUGAAAAGGGGUCUCCUUAAAUGCAAAGUCAGGCGGAAGCUUAAGCAACGGCCAAAACGUGAUAAUAUGGGACUCAAAUCCUGUUUCUGCGUUGACACACCGUGCUUGACGUGGGACAUUUUCCAAUGUCCCUGCCGACUGAUCCUUCAACGCCAGGCGUUUGCACUCGUUGCUGACGUAUACCUGAACACCUGGUCUCAAAUCAGACAAGACUACCCGCUGAACUUAA